AUGCAAGUCGAACGCAGUAGCAAUACUGAGUGGCGCACGGGUGAGUAACGCGUAACUGACCUACCCCAAAGUCUGAAUAACUGGGCGAAAGUUCAGCUAAUACUGGAUGUGGUGAUUCGCUGUGCGAAUCAUUAAAGAUUUAUCGCUUUGGGAUGGGGUUGCGUUCCAUCAGCUAGUUGGUGGGGUAAAGGCCUACCAAGGCGACGACGGAUAGCCGGCCUGAGAGGGUGGCCGGCCACAGGGGCACUGAGACACGGGUCCCACUCCUACGGGAGGCAGCAGUUAGGAAUCUUCCACAAUGGGCGCAAGCCUGAUGGAGCGACGCCGCGUGAGGGAUGAAGGUUUUCGGAUUGUAAACCUCUGAACUAGGGACGAAAGAGCCGUAAGGCAGAUGACGGUACCUAGGUAAUAGCACCGGCUAACUCCGUGCCAGCAGCCGCGGUAAUACGGAGGGUGCAAGCGUUACCCGGAAUCACUGGGCGUAAAGGGCGUGUAGGCGGGAUGUUAAGUCUGGUUUUAAAGACUGAGGCUCAACCUCAGGGAUGGACUGGAUACUGGCAACCUUGACCUCUGGAGAGGUAACUGGAAUUCUUGGUGUAGCGGUGGAAUGCGUAGAUACCAAGAGGAACCCCAAUGGCGAAGGCAAGUUACUGGACAGAGGUGACGCUGAGGCGCGAAAGUUUGGGGAGCAAACCGAAU
rnacentral:rRNA from 1 species